AUAUAUAUAAUCUUAUGCAUGUAAGAAUGUUGGCCACAAACUAUUUGCAGUAUCCUUCCUCAUUUCUCAGCACAUGCGUUUCUAUAUCAGUAUAUGAACUUCAAUUAUGCUAUUGGACAAGAUACACCAUGGAAAAGAUGAUAAACAAGAUGCCAAAAAAGGAAGAAGACCAGUCUGUACAAUGGCAGUUGUGGUGGUGAUAACGUGCAAUAACAGUUCUGCUAAUGAAGAUCGCUGUGGAUAUCAAAUGCGUUCAGUUUUCUCAUUGUGACAAGGAUUCUUUGUGUAGCAUUGCUCAUGACUGGCUGCAACAAGCAAGCGAGUGUUGGAGCUAGUAGUAGUCUGAUAAUUAUGUGAUAAAUUUGGGUCAAUAUAUAUAUUUUUUCCACUUUAACAUGUUUUCUUUUUUAUGGGCACUGGGUCUGGAAGUAGAGUGUUCAUAUAUGAUGGCAUUGUCUAGCACAAGUGGUGCAGGAUUAUGUGCGCUUGUUUUUACACGGGUAUACCUUUAAUAAGAAGGCAUGCAAGUCAAUGUUUGUGUUGAUUAUGUCAUUUUCUUGAUUAUGUCUCUUUGCUUUUCUUGUGUUCAUUUCUCAUCAAGGGGAAUGCUAUACAGUAAUGAAGAAUUUUGUUUUCUC